ensembl:snRNA U5 U5 spliceosomal RNA
AUACUUUGAUUCCUCUUCAUAUUGUAUAAAUAUUUUGCUUUUCACUAAAAAUUUCCAAGGAGGGAAAUAACUGAGUUUUAUGUUACUUGUUUGAGGCCUUGCAUUGAGGGUG